AGCGAACGCUGGCGGCGUGCCUAACACAUGCAAGUCGAACGUGAAAGGGGGCAAUCCCAAGUAAAGUGGCGUACGGGUGAGUAACACGUAGGUAAUCUACCCCAGAAUCUGGAAUAACCGGCCGAAAGGCUGGCUAAUACUGGAUAGAACGACGGAAUCCGUAAUUGGGUUUUUCGGGAAAGGGCGCCUGUAAAAAGGCCUUCGUUCUGGGAUUAGCCUGCGUCCCAUCAGCGAGUUGGUGCGGUAAAAGCUUACCAACGCAAUGACGGGUAGCUGGGCUGAGAGGACGAGCAGCCACACUGGGACUGAAGCGCGGUCCAGAAUCCUAGGGGAGGGAGCAGUGGGGGAUCUUGCGCAAAGGGGGGAAGUCUGGAGCAGGAACGCCGCGGGAGGGAAGAAGGGCUUCGGGUUGGAAAGGUCUGUCGAGUGGGACGAAAAUGCUUGGAGUUAACAGCUCCAGGAACUGACGGUACCAAUAGAGGAAGCACCGGCUAACUCCGUG
rnacentral:rRNA from 1 species